CAAGCAGGCACAGAAUUUGACGCCUGGAGAGGCAGCUGGUCCUGGCUAGGACUCCUGAUUCUUCUCAGAUGGAAACAAUUUCUCCCGGUGAACCUGCCGGAAUUCCCAGUGGACUCGCACUUCAGCUUUGCCCACUGGCGCAUUUAACCAAGGCCGCAUUUACCGCUUUGAGGCAAAUCUGAGUUUCAAAUGGAGCGGGACUUCUGGUUGCAGAAUGAGCCUCUCCAGGACAGUGUUGCAUAGAACUGGUUUUAGUAGACCUUCUUGUUUCAUGUGCAAUAACAAGAAAAAAGCUCGAAGGGAAGGAUUUCUACAUUUCACUAUAAAAUAUUUACUAAUUGGAAAAUACUACUUCACAGAACUGGAAAAGAACUACUCUAAAGUUCAUAUGGAACCAAAAAAGAGCCUGCACAGCCAAGACAAUCCUAAGCAAAAAGAACAAAGCUGGAGGCAUCACACUACCUGACUUCAAACUAUACUACAAGGCUACAAUAACAAAAACAGCAUGGUACUGGUGCCAAAGCAGUUAUAUAGACCAAUGGAACAGAACAGAGGCCUCAGAAAUAACACCACACAUCUACAACUGUCUGAUCUUUGACAAAUCUGACAAAAAC
rnacentral:lncRNA from 1 species